rnacentral:rRNA from 1 species
GACGAACGCUGGCGGCGUGCCUAAUACAUGCAAGUCGAACGCUGAAGGAGGAGCUUGCUUCUCUGGAUGAGUUGCGAACGGGUGAGUAACGCGUAGGUAACCUGCCUGGUAGCGGGGGAUAACUAUUGGAAACGAUAGCUAAUACCGCAUAAGAGUAGAUGUUGCAUGACAUUUGCUUAAAAGGUGCAAUUGCAUCACUACCAGAUGGACCUGCGUUGUAUUAGCUAGUUGGUGGGGUAACGGCUCACCAAGGCGACGAUACAUAGCCGACCUGAGAGGGUGAUCGGCCACACUGGGACUGAGACACGGCCCAGACUCCUACGGGAGGCAGCAGUAGGGAAUCUUCGGCAAUGGACGGAAGUCUGACCGAGCAACGCCGCGUGAGGGAAGAAGGUUUUCGGAUCGUAAAGCUCCGUUGUAAGAGAAGAACGAGUGUGAGAGUGGAAAGUUCACACUGUGACGGUAUCUUACCAGAAAGGGACGGCUAACUACGUG